GAUUUUUCUACAUUUAUGGUAGGACGAGCCGACGGUGCGGUGUGCUCUUCUCGGAAAGAGAAAAUUUCGAAAAUAUUUCCGUGCCGUGCCCUAAUCAUGCACCUCAUUAGGCGAAAAGUAGCACUGGUAUCCUGUUUCCAGUCCGAAGCCACGCUGGAUUUGAUAUUAGCCCAAUACUACAAACGCCACCCUCUAUGAGGAGGCGGAGCAAACCAGUAAGGCAUGCGCGGACACCCGGCGUAGCAAGACGAAAGCUAGGAAACGGGCGGCGAGUAGCAGCGAAGAUGGUGCCCGAGAUGUUGUCCGUGAGCGGCGGGCUCUACAGGACGACAAAGCCGCGAAGCGGAGAAUGCGGCGAAGCAACGCAGGUACGACGCCAGUAAAUUGGACGAGCACACGGGUGCGUAUGCAAAAUUUCAGAGGGACUUUCUGUACAGACAUUUUGGAUUCCGUUGUGGGGUGGGCGACAGACUGUCGUUCGAGAAUGAUUUGAUGGUGAUUGCUAGCGUUCGAGAUGUCGCGAAGCGUGAACUUAAUGCCGUUUUGACACCUACCCCAGCUUCUGACUUAGCCAGCUGCUCGGUUUGGCGGCGCGGAGGAAGCACUAAUGGCAUCAAUCAUUUGUUGUGACAGGUGGUUGCUAACAAGCCAUCUGCUGCAUUUUCGCGCCUGCGCAAAGAACCGAAUAAGCAGUUAGUACGUUGCGUGCGCUGGUAUGGGGAGGCCGCGUGUAGUGCGUAUUGCCGAAGAACAAGCUGCUCACGAGGUGCAACUUCCAGACCGCAGACGUGAACGUGAGCGAGAGCUGCGGGCGGCACGAACCAUUCAGGAGCGUGCCGAGGAGGCUGCUCGUAAGCUACGGACUAAAGCAGAAAACCCCUCAGGUCGCGAAGCAAUUAAUGCGGCGCAACGACGGAGGUACCACGCUCGGAAGGUUGUUUCGUUUUCAUACUGAGAUAGCGCUUCGGCCCCUCCGUCUUGAACCCGUCCUGCCUGGGAAGGCCAACCACGCUUCCCUUGACGAGGAUAUCCUCCGAAGCGCUACUUCGAACUCCAAGCCACCAAAGUAUACCGUCGAUGCUUCCUUGGUGGUAGAAAUGGCUGCCGUGACUACCGCAAUGACCGUGCUGUCCGUGGACAUCGCCCCUGGU